ACCGUCAUGUAUCCUCCACGCGGAAAUUCCUAGAAGAUCGCGCAAUCUUUUUGAAAACCGACGACCGCGACACGUGUGUGUCUCGCGUUCCCUCCGAACUGGCAGACGGUCGGCCCUAAUAAUAAAUUGCAACGACAUCCGAAGUACGAAUGGCUAUAAUAAUUAUUGGAGAGAGAGAGAGAAAAACCUGCGGGUUAUAUCGCCGAGUAAAAAAAUUUGUCC